GGGAACUAGGCUAAUGCUUGGUUAGCCACAUUGCUAACAGAUUCUUAGGUAACUUGCCUUGCUUGACCUUCAAUGCACUGAUGUUUAUGGCUACAGCAAGAUUCAACCCACCGAAAUACUCAAGCAAUACAAAGUAUAUUAAUCAAGUUAUUCGUCAGAAUCGAAUUGCCAUGGAAAUGUAAAAUGACAACAUUGAAACUGCGACAGAAACGAAGCUAGCGCCCUCUUCGUAUUGUAUAGAAAAUGAUAGCUACAGUAGCUAACGUUGACUACGUUACGAAACCACAGCAAUGGUGAACCAUCAUUGACCUACUGAUGUUACCAAACAAGAAUUCUAGGUGGGAAAUUAUGCAUUGUUUAUUCAGGAAGAGAGACGAAUGACGUUCGAUUGAAGAGACAUUCUUGAACAUAAAAGGCCAGAUGAACAACCUGACGCUAAGGACCAGGCCCAAAUCUCCCGGACCAGGCCCAAAUCCCGGUCAUUCGCAUGAAGAGGAGAC